rnacentral:rRNA from 1 species
CCUACGGGUGGCAGCAGUGGGGAAUAUUGCGCAAUGGGCGAAAGCCUGACGCAGCGACGCCGCGUGAGGGAUGAAGGUCUUCGGAUCGUAAACCUCUGUCAGCAGGGAAGAACGGUCACUGUGCUAAUCAGCAGUGAAUUGACGGUACCUGCAAAGGAAGCACCGGCUAACUCCGUGCGAGCAGCCGCGGUAGUACGGGGGGUGCGAGCGUUAAUCGGAAUUACUGGGCGUAAAGCGCUCGUAGGCGGUAUGUCAAGUCAAGGGUGAAAUCCCCGCGCUCAACGUGGGAACUGCCUUUGAAACUGGCAAACUUGAGUGUGUGAGAGGAUAGUGGAAUGCCAGGUGUAGGAGUGAAAUCCGUAGAUAUCGGGAGGAACAUCAGUGGCGAAGGCGACUAUCUGGCACCUAACUGACGCUGAGGAGCGAAAGCGUGGGUAGCAAACAGGAUUAGAUACCCUAGUAGUC